GAAACCACAACCGGUUUUGUAGUUUGUCGCUGUAAACAUCCCCGACUGGAAGCUGUGAGGCUGCAUUUGAGCUUUCAGUCUGGUGUUUGCUGCUACCGGCUACAGACGCUUCUCCCCCUCGCA
rnacentral:precursor_RNA from 14 species